GAUGAACGCUGGCGGCGUGCCUAAUACAUGCAAGUCGAGCGAAUGGAUUAAGAGCUUGCUCUUAUGAAGUUAGCGGCGGACGGGUGAGUAACACGUGGGUAACCUGCCCAUAAGACUGGGAUAACUCCGGGAAACCGGGGCUAAUACCGGAUAACAUUUUGAACCGCAUGGUUCGAAAUUGAAAGGCGGCUUCGGCUGUCACUUAUGGAUGGACCCCCGUCGCAUCAGCUAGUUGGUGAGGUAACGGCUCACCAAGGCAACGAUGCGUAGCCGACCUGAGAGGGUGAUCGGCCACACUGGGACUGAGACACGGCCCAGACUCCUACGGGAGGCAGCAGUAGGGAAUCUGCCGCAAUGGACGAAAGUCUGACGGAGCAACGCCGCGUGAGUGAUGAAGGCUUUCGGGUCGUAAAACUCUGUUGUUAGGGAAGAACAAGUGCUAGUUGAAUAAGCUGGCACCUUGACGGUACCUAACCAGAAAGCCACGGCUAACUACGUGCCAGCCGCCGCUGUAA
rnacentral:rRNA from 1 species